GUGGGGAAUAUUGGACAAUGGGCGAAAGCCUGAUCCAGCCAUGCCGCGUGUGUGAAGAAGGCCUUUUGGUUGUAAAGCACUUUAAGCGAGGAGGAGGCUACCGAGAUUAAUACUCUAGGAUAGUGGACGUUACUCGCAGAAUAAGCACCGGCUAACUCUGUGCCAGCAGCCGCGGUAAUACAGAGGGUGCGAGCGUUAAUCGGAUUUACUGGGCGUAAAGCGUGCGUAGGCGGCUUCUUAAGUCGGAUGUGAAAUCCCUGAGCUUAACUUAGGAAUUGCAUUCGAUACUGGGAAGCUAGAGUAUGGGAGAGGAUGGUAGAAUUCCAGGUGUAGCGGUGAAAUGCGUAGAGAUCUGGAGGAAUACCGAUGGCGAAGGCAGCCAUCUGGCCUAAUACUGACGCUGAGGUACGAAAGCAUGGGGAGCAAACAGGAUUAGAUACCCGUGUAGUCC
rnacentral:rRNA from 1 species